CCUUCUUGUCCCAGCCCUCCUUUCAUGAACCAGUGGGAGUGAGUGGCAACGACAAGCCAAUUCUGGCCUCUCUUGCCCUGCGUGACUUGGCUAGUGAUUUUCAGCAUGCAGCAGUGGUGAGGUUACGGUGUGCACCAUCAUUCCUGGGUUAUGAGGCACUAGGGACUGCACCCCGGAUUCUGUGCACACUAGGCGAGCACUCUCCCACCUGAACUGCCUCCUCCGUUGGGAUCUUCAUACUCCCCCAAAGCUCAGGACUAAAAUCCACCCUGCCAGGGGCUGAUGAGCUAGUUAGCAAGUAGAGGUACGGAGUCUCCAAGAAGGUGUUCCUUCCCGGGUCCUCAGACACCUGACUGAGGCUUUCCUUGGUGUGUCUCAUUUAUGGCUAGCUUCCCAAUAGAUCCUUUUUGUCCUUGCCAAAUAUGGAGGAAGCCAUUCAAAUGGGCACAAUUCUUCAU